UAACGCCUACAUUGUGUCAUCCCUUAACAAAAAUAAAACCAACAAAAAAAAGUAAGCUCUGCUUUUCCAUCUUCUUCCUCAGUCCUGUACCAGCACGAUGGUCUGCCAUUUCCAUCUUCUUCUUCCUCAGUCCUCUACCAGCUCCUCCUCGAUCAGACCCAUAAACUUGCAACCAACAGCAAAUCAAGCAUCGCAUCUACAGACCCACCAUACCCACAAACCGAAGCCUCCAUCUCCUUCCUCAGACCACCGAUUUGCCACAUCCAACCUCUACAACCCUAAAACGGCCCCCCAUUUUCCGUGGGUCUCAUCAAGCCCAUGGCCACAGAUAACCCACCAUGCCCACCAUACCCACAAACCCACAAACAUCGAACCGAGGUCGAGGUCGAGCUCCUGGCCCAUCAACUACGUCGGUGCCCAAAGGUUUAUUGCUCUUGCCUUUCUCUAAGGGUUUUAGACUAGGGGUCAGACAACGUACAAUUCCUUCUUUCCUUCAGGGAUCCACAUUGGCGGUGGAAUAUAUAGCUCAUGUUAUAGGGCGGUGCAGUUGUUGAGCUUUUACCUAGCUGCAACCUUCAAUCCUAACCUAUAUAUAAAAGGAAAGGUUUCAAAGCAACACAACGUUCGUUUGGAAGAGCCUCGAUAGGUGCUCCCUUCUCCUUCAGAUACGAUUGGAAAGCAAAGGUGGGAGGAACUCAUCAAUUGUGUUCUGCACAAAUGGGAUUUUAUUGAGGGUGCUAAUUUCUGAAGGGGCUGGUAGGUCGAAAACAGAAGGCGGAGCGAAACCUGCAAAGCGAGAGAUUUCUGGCAUUACUCACAUUAUCAUGGAUGGUGAGAUUGAAGAGGAUGUGAAAGAUCAAAGAUAGGAUCACAGAUUCAGAUUUGAAUGUAAAUGAGUAGGAAAUUUUUGCAUCAUCUUUUGCUGCUGCUGCAUAUUUGAAGUCCAUUAAUUUCCCAAAAGAUAAAAAGGUAUUUGUAUUUUACCUGGUGACACAAACAGAAAAUAUCCUAUUAUACCAGCAAUGUAGGAUCAGCUCCAUGUGAGAGACCCAAAUCAUAUGAAAUGAGCCUUUGCAUUUCAAUUGCAUGUGUACAAUACUGUAAGCAUCUACUUGAAGUUCUGGAUCUUCAACUUUUAUAGUGCCAUUCACUUUGGAGUCCAUAGAUCUGAUUUCUCUGUGUAUGAGUCAAUUUCAGUUUCAAUUUUAUCAUUAUAAAAUGCAGAAUUGAUCUCAUUUUGAUGAAUAAUGUGAUAUCACUUUUAAACUGAUUAUGAUUUUUGGUGUAUAUAUGGUUCCUGGUUGAUACAGCUUAUUUUCAGCUUUUUGAAAAUGAUUUUGUUUUAAAAACUGUACCUUGAAAAAGGAAGCUUUAAAAAAGUUGAACUUUUAUGAUUAAAGAUUGUUUGGGAAUGAUUGGUUAUCUGUUUGGAUGGUUUUUUUUCUCUUAAAAUCUACUCCUGAUUGUAUGGUCAAGUAUAGGAGUCAUAGUCGCUUCAGACUUCAAGUGCUUAGCAAUGUCUUAUCUUUUAGGUAUUAUUCAUUGGUCUGUUGAGGAUCCAUAUCUGAAUCCAAAUUUUUGGGACUUAAGACUUGGUUGUUGUUGUAGGCUGUUGAAAACAAAUUUUUGAAUCCCUUCAGUACUAUGUGAUUUCUGAUGUCCCUUUUUGAGCAAUGGAAUCUGGACUUACUUUAAUCCUUUUUUAGAUUUCCCCCCAACCCAGUGCAAUUGCUAUGGAGCUAAUAUCAAUUGAUAUCAGCUUUUGAAUGAGACUUGACUGUGGAAAUAUUUCACAAUGGGGGUGUCAUCGGUAAAGCUGCAAAUGGAAUUGGAGGUGUUAUUGGAAGUGCAUUUGCAGCUCCAAUCAAGACUAUCUUUGGUGCAUCAUGUGAGUAUGCUAUUGAUACAAUGCAAUCUGUCUGCCUUAAGGAAGCUGGGGUAAAGGCAUCGGGCUCUUUGGAAGAAGAAACCACUUUAAUGGGCCUUACAUUUGGAGGAUACCUCUGUUUGAAGGCUGAUGAGGAGUAUAUCUACCAAGCUUUGAGCACAGCCGUGGGAGUUUUGGACAGCAUUGAAGCAACAAUUGCUAAAUUCUUUUCAAAGAUUGAGACAGUCCUUUUUAUUCUUACAGAGCUCAGAAGCAUGUUUGAACUAGAAGAUGAGUUUUUGGAGGAACUGGAGUUGGCUAUAGCCUUGGUUUCUACAUUAUUGGCAAAGUAGGAAAGUGUACAAGUACAUCUCAUCCAAGCUGCAAAGGAGUCAAGGAGAGGCCAAGAUCACUGAAAAUAAGCAUCAAACUCACCACCUCAUGCAGGCUAUACAAAUGAUAGUGCAGGACAAUCUCACUUACCACCUCAUAGGGAUCAUGGCUUGAGGAGAAAAAAUUACAUGCUGAAUCGUCCAGUGGGUCCGAUGAUCAACAAACACAGCCAGCCUAAGCCACAGCAGCCCAUACUAAGUUUCAACCAGUCAUAUCAUUUACAGCAGCUGCAGCAGACGACUAGCCAAGCCCAGCCCUCCCAUCCUCAGGCUGACACUGCAGGACAAUCACCUACAAACUCUGUCAUGGGGUGCAGUAAUUAUAAGUCAGGUUGUCCAUCAGGCCUGUGAUCAACAAUCCCGGUCCACAGCAGCAGAUUCAGGAGGCCCCAGAAUGCCACAACAACCAACCAUUCAAGUCAGUGUGCAAGCCUAGGAAAAAGAGGUGUCGAGGCCCUUCAUGAUGCUGCUUCUUGUGGGACUUGUCUGAUGGUGAGCGAAUAGAUGUUUCAAUCAACAGAUUUGGGCAGCCCAUUGGCCGUGAGGCUGCCAAGCUCAGCAGUUUCAUGGGUACCAUAGCAUGGAAUGGCUACAUUGCACCCCUUACUUAUGUCAGCUGGAGGGCUGUACCGGAUGCAGCCAAAGAGGAUAUGUGGCAGAUCGUCCAGGUGCAAACUGCUAUAAAUAAGGAUUGCCGCGCAAAGAUGAAGGAUGUGCAUACUUUAGGGAGUAAGAGCUAUGCGAGGUUACGUGAGGAGGAGAGGGAGAAGAGGCCAAAUGGGGAAGAGCCAACUAGGGAUGAGGUUUAUAUAUUAACCUACACACAUAAAGAUGGAAACCUGUUAAUGAGGAAGCAGCAGCCAAAAUUGUAUGUUUUUUUUUUUACUUUUUCAAGUAACUUGCAUCUUACCAAUCUAAGUUUUGGCAUGAGUUUGCCUUUUU